rnacentral:lncRNA from 1 species
UUCAAAAUAGAGUCCAAUUUUCCCAACGUCCCGAGUUCAUCUCGCGUCCGCAUCCUUCUCCAUCCGAAACUUCAUCCUCAUCCCCUGUGUCCAGCUAACAGAGCACUUCUCGUUUCUCCCUCUCCCGUUUGGAAUUGACUCCAUCCACGGAUGAGUUCACCUCUCCGGAUCCCAUGCAUCCCGACAUUCCGAAUUGAUCCCAGCUAACUUUGAGUGAUUUCCGUUGUCUAUACUUCAUCUCCCAAGUCAUUCACAGCCUUCCCGAACUUCUCAGCCGAUUAUAGAACUCAUCCUUAUCCUUUUUCUUCGCGUAUUCAUCCCAACGGCUUUCUUCUCAUCCUCUUCUCCGGAUCACUUGAAUCUUCCAAAGCCCCUGCAUCCCGACUCAUCUCUCAUCUUCGGAUCAAGCCAGUGAACCCGAAUCCCAGCAUCUUCAUCCCGUCCGCCCAAGCUUGAUCUCAUUCGUGAUGACCAUCCAGGAUCCAUGACAGCAUCCCGAGCUUCACGGAUCAGAGCCUCUAUCUUCCACGGAUGGUUCCCAGUUCAUUCCCAGCCGUCCGCAUUCCCCUCGGCAUUGAAGAAGUAAUCAGCUUCAGCCAUCCGGCCGAGAUCCUCUCAACGUCCAACCUCUCGCAUCCCAGCAUCUGGAAGCCA